CGCUGGCGGCGUGCCUAACACAUGCAAGUCGAGCGAGGAGAGUCCUUCGGGAUGAUCCUAGCGGCGGACGGGUGAGUAACACGUGGGCAACCUGCCUCAUAGAGAGGAAUAGCCUUCCGAAAGGGAGAUUAAUACCUCAUAACAUUGCAGUUUCGCAUGGAACAGCAAUUAAAGGAGCAAUCCACUAUGAGAUGGGCCCGCGGCGCAUUAGCUAGUUGGUGAGGUAACGGCUCACCAAGGCGACGAUGCGUAGCCGACCUGAGAGGGUGAUCGGCCACAUUGGGACUGAGACACGGCCCAGACUCCUACGGGAGGCAGCAGUGGGGAAUAUUGCACAAUGGGGGAAACCCUGAUGCCAGCAACGCCGCGUGAGUGAUGACGGCCUUCGGGUUGUAAAGCUCUGUCUUCAGGGACGAUAAUGACGGUACCUGAGGAGGAAGCCACGGCUAACUACGUGCCAGCCGCCGC
rnacentral:rRNA from 1 species